GGACAAUGGGCGAAGCCUGAUCCAGCAAUGCCGCGUGAGUGAAGAAGGCCUUAGGGUUGUAAAGCUCUUUCGCCCGCGACGAUGAUGACGGUAGCGGGAGAAGAAGCCCCGGCUAAUUCCGUGCCAGCAGCCGCGGUAAUACGGAAGGGGCUAGCGUUGUUCGGAAUUACUGGGCGUAAAGCGCGCGUAGGCGGCUUGGCGAGUGAGGCGUGAAAGUCCUGGGCUCAACCUGGGGACGGCGCUUCAGACUGUCUGGCUUGAGUCCGGAAGAGGGUGGUGGAAUUCCGAGUGUAGAGGUGAAAUUCGUAGAUAUUCGGAGGAACACCGGUGGCGAAGGCGGCCACCUGGUCCGGAACUGACGCUGAAGUGCGAAAGCGUGGGGAGCAAACAGGAUUAGAUACCCUGGUAGUCCACGCUGUAAACGAUGGGUGCUAGAUGUUGGGAAGCUUGCUUCUCGGUGUCGUAGCCAACGCGUUAAGCACCCCGCCUGGGGAGUACGGCCGCAAGGUUA
rnacentral:rRNA from 1 species